CCAGAUAGCACAACGAUAGAAAAAUUAAGAGCUAUUUGUUUAGACCAUGCCAAACUUGGAGAAAGCAGCCUUAGUCCAUCUCUUGACUCACUUUUCUUUGGUCCUUCAGCCUCACAAGUGCUAUAUCUAACAGAGGUAGUCUAUGCCUUGUUAAUGCCUGCUGGUGCACCUCUGGCUGAUGAUUCCUCUGAUUUUCAGUUUCACUUCUUGAAAAGUGGUGGCCUACCCCUUGUACUGAGUAUGCUAACCAGAAAUAACUUCCUACCAAAUGCAGAUAUGGAAACUCGAAGGGGUGCCUACCUCAAUGCUCUUAAAAUAGCCAAGCUUUUGCUAACUGCCAUUGGCUAUGGUCAUGUUCGAGCUGUGGCAGAAGCUUGUCAGCCAGGUGUAGAAGGUGUGAAUCCCAUGACACAGGUAAUAGACUUUUUAAAAAUCCUUUUAUAAUAGUAGAUAGCAAUUUUUAAAGUAAAACUAAUU
rnacentral:sRNA from 1 species